rnacentral:tRNA from 1 species
AUAAAAAAAUUUUUUUAAUAAGAA